rnacentral:rRNA from 1 species
AACGAACGCUGGCGGCAUGCCUAACACAUGCAAGUCGAACGAGACCUUCGGGUCUAGUGGCGCACGGGUGCGUAACGCGUGGGAACCUGCCCUUAGGUUCGGAAUAACUCCCCGAAAGGGGUGCUAAUACCGGAUAAUGUCUUCGGACCAAAGAUUUAUCGCCUUUGGAUGGGCCCGCGUUGGAUUAGCUAGUUGGUAGGGUAAAAGCCUACCAAGGCGACGAUCCAUAGCUGGUCUGAGAGGAUGAUCAGCCACACUGGGACUGAGACACGGCCCAGACUGCUACGGGAGGCAGCAGUGGGGAAUAUUGGACAAUGGGCGAAAGCCUGAUCCAGCAAUGCCGCGUGAGUGAUGAAGGCCUUAGGGUUGUAAAGCUCUUUUACACGGGAUGAUAAUGACAGUACCGGGAGAAUAAGCUCCGGCUAACUACGUG